CUACGGGCGGCAGCAGUGGGGAAUAUUGCACAAUGGAGGAAACUCUGAUGCAGCAACGCCGCGUGGAGGAUGACACUUUUCGGAGCGUAAACUCCUUUUAUAUAGGAAGAUAAUGACGGUACUAUAUGAAUAAGCACCGGCUAACUCCGUGCCAGCAGCCGCGGUAAUACGGAGGGUGCAAGCGUUACUCGGAAUCACUGGGCGUAAAGAGCGUGUAGGCGGGUUAAUAAGUCAGAAGUGAAAUCCUAUGGCUCAACCAUAGAACUGCUUUUGAAACUGUUAACCUAGAGUGUGGGAGAGGUAGAUGGAAUUUCUGGUGUAGGGGUAAAAUCCGUAGAGAUCAGAAGGAAUACCGAUUGCGAAGGCGAUCUACUGGAACAUAACUGACGCUGAGACGCGAAAGCGUGGGGAGCAAACAGGAUUAGAUACCCCGGUAGUC
rnacentral:rRNA from 1 species